rnacentral:lncRNA from 1 species
AUGUUAAAGAAUUUUUGGGUACCUUUAGAAUCCAACCCAGAUUCGUUGUAUUUAUAUUCUACUAAACUUGGACAAUGUAAAUUAAAGUUUGAGGAUAUUUUGGGUUUUGAUAAAGACCUAUUAGAUAUGAAUAAUGAAAACAAUUCAAGUGAAAAAAUAGUAAAUAAAGGUAUUAGUGACGCUUUUUUUUAUAAAGCAAACUAUUCCAAACUGUUGUGGUACAAUUGCUUUGAUACAUUUGUUCGGAAAUUUGAGAGAUAAAUUUGAAAUUAGCAAGGGUUCUAUUUUAGCUAAUUUUUUUGAUAAAGUUGAGAAAAUGACUCCUGAAGAAAGAGGAAAGGUUUCGUUUUACAUAUCACACAUUGUGUUAAAGAAAAAAAGGAACGAACUAUGUGAAUAUUUAUUUUUUUCUAUUUUUAUU